GACGAACGCUGGCGGCGUGCUUAACACAUGCAAGUCGAGCGGUAAGGCCCUUUCGGGGGUACACGAGCGGCGAACGGGUGAGUAACACGUGGGUGACCUGCCCUUAGCUCUGGGAUAAGCCUGGGAAACUGGGUCUAAUACCGGAUAUGACUCCAUAACGCAUGUUGUGGGGUGAAAGCCUUGUGCGGCUAGGGAUGGGCCCGCGGCCUAUCAGCUUGUUGGUGGGGUNAUGGCCACCAAGGCGACGACGGUAGCCGGCCUGAGAGGGCGACCGGCCACACU
rnacentral:rRNA from 1 species